GAGGAUGUAGCUUAAUUGGAUGAAGCAUCUGCCUUCUAAGCAGAAGAUUGUGAGUUCGAGCCUCACCAUCCUCA
rnacentral:tRNA from 1 species